UUUUUUUUAUUGGCGACUUUCGUCUACUAAAGACGCAUCAUGUCAAAAAGGCAAAAUAAAGUUUAAAGUUGAAGAGCAUUCAGGACCAACAAAUCUUAAAAGUUUUGCCAAAGACAGCUAAAGAAAUCUAUUCCUGAAGUAGAAAAACCUUGGUAUUUAAAAAAAUCGAAGUUUUAAAGAGACUUAUUAGAUGUUUCCUGUAUUCCAAGAGUGUCAAGGUCACACCCGUGAAAGUAGGCGUAUAUGGGACUGUCUAUAAGGCUACAUUUUUAUCAUUAAUACCCAACUCCUUAAAUAUUUCAUGGUGCA
rnacentral:lncRNA from 1 species